rnacentral:lncRNA from 1 species
GUCGAGGUUAGUCAUGUCAGUCAGCGAUGGUCAUGUCACGUUUUUGAAAGUUUCUGAAAAUAAAUCUAUAUUUUUUAUAACAUAAAUGUUUCAAAAUGUGACAUAUCAUUUUAUGUUUCAAAUCUUAGAUAAUUCUUUUGAAAAAUAAAAAAGUUAUUAGCAUUUUUAUUUUGUCCUGUCAUUGUCGAUGUUGGUCAUGUCAUUAUCAGAGUUGGUCAUGUCACGUUUUCUAAAGUUUCUUACAAUUUUUUUAAUUUUUUUUCUUAAAUCUAUGUAUAAAAUGAUGAAAUCUUAUUAUAUUUCAAAUUUCAGAAAAAUAUUUUGAGAAAUAAAAGAGAAAUUAGCAAUUUCAUCUGGUCCGGUCAUUGUCGAGAUUGGUCCUGGCAGUCAGCGAUGGUCAUGUCAUGUUUUCGAAAGUUUUUGAAAAUAAAUUUAUAUUUUUUAUAACAUUUUAGUUUCAAAAUAUGGCAUAACAUUUUAUAUUUCAAAUCUGAGAUAAUUCCUUUGAAAAAUAAAGAAGUUAUUAGCAUUUUUAUUUGGUCCUGUCAUUCUCGAUGUUGGUCCUGUCAUUAUCAGAGUUGGUCAUGUCACGUUUUCUAAAGUUUCUAACAAUUUUUUUAAUUUUUUUUCUUAAAUCUAUUUAUCAAAUGAUGAAAUCUUAUUUUAUUUCAAAUUUGAGUUCAAUCCUUUGAGAAAUGAAAAAGUUAUUAGCAUUUUUCAUUUGGUCCUG